GACGAACGCUGGCGGCGUGCCUAAUACAUGCAAGUAGAACGCACAGUUUAUACCGUAGCUUGCUACACCAUAACCUGUGAGUUGCGAACGGGUGAGUAACGCGUAGGUAACCUGCCUGGUAGCGGGGGAUAACUAUUGGAAACGAUAGCUAAUACCGCAUAAUAUUGAUUAUUGCAUGAUAAUUGAUUGAAAGAUGCUAUUGCAUCACUACCAGAUGGACCUGCGUUGUAUUAGCUAGUAGGUGAGGUAACGGCUCACCUAGGCGACGAUACAUAGCCGAGCUGAGGGGGUGAGCGGCCACACUGGGACUGGGACACGGCCCAGGCUCCUUCGGGGAGGAGCAGUAGGGAAAUUUCGGCAAUGGACGGAAGUCUGACCGAGCAACGCCGCGUGAGUGAAGAAGGUUUUCGGGUCGGAAAGCUCUGUUGUAAGGGAAGAAAGGGUGUGAGAGUGGAAAGUUCACGCUGUGACGGUAUCUUACCAGAAAGGAACGGCUAACUACGUG
rnacentral:rRNA from 1 species